rnacentral:rRNA from 1 species
AACGAACGCUGGCGGCAUGCCUAACACAUGCAAGUCGAACGGGAUCCUAGCUUGCUAGGUGAGAGUGGCGGACGGGUGAGUAACACGUGGGAAUCUGCCUUUUGGUUCGGGAUAACCGCGGGAAACUGCGGCUAAUACCGAAUGCCCUCGUGAGAGGAAAGAUUUAUCGCCAGAAGAGGAGCCCGCGUCCGAUUAGGUAGUUGGUGGGGUAAAAGGCCUACCAAGCCGACGAUCGGUAGCUGGUCUGAGAGGAUGAUCAGCCACACUGGGACUGAGAUACGGCCCAGACUCCUACGGGAGGCAGCAGUGGGGAAUAUUGGACAAUGGGGGCGAACCCCUGAUCCAGCAAUGCCGCGUGAGUGAUGAAGGCCUUAGGGUUGUAAAGCUCUUUUGCCAGGGAAGAUGAUGACUGUACCUGGAGAAUAAGCCCCGGCUAACUUCGUGCCAGCAGCCGCGGUAAU